AUUUUUCAUCACACUUUCUGCUUUAAGCAUCAAUUAUAGUCAUUCCAAUAUGACCUGCUUGUGCAUUUAUGCAAUUUUUCUUCACAUUUUCUGCUUUAUCCGUCAAUUUUUGUCAUUCUAAUAUGACCUUGCUCUGUAGUGUGAACAUCACAGAGACCUGUGCUAAUAGCAUUAGCGUUCUGAUGAUUUUCCCGUGAUUCCUUGCAGUGUCUGCCGCCAUUUUGUUGCCUUCCGCCAUUUUGCUGCCGCUGCUCCGGAGGCCUUCGCUGUACCACACAGACUGUUCAGAAAGAGCGACUGACGACCGUUUAAGAGGAGCUAACCGCGAUCUUUCUGUCCACGACCGAGGCUGGGCUUCGUUGAGAAACCAUCGAGUUCCAUGUUGCUGCGAUGGCCGAGGAGAGGCACCUGUGGGUUUCCCUGCCUGGGAGACAAAUGGACCGGGUGCAGUAACUCCUCUUGCUCUUCCUCUCGCCGGACCUCCUUCAGCUCCUCUUCUCACGGGCCUCCUCCUCCUCUCACCGGUCCUCACCCA
ensembl:lncRNA